GGGCUGGUGGCGGAAUUGGUAGACGCGCUAGACUCAAAAUCUUGUUCACACUUGUGAGUGAGGGUUCAAGUCCCUCCCAGCCCACCA
rnacentral:tRNA from 1 species